AACGCACAUUGCGCCCGCCAGCAUUCUGGCGGGCAUGCCUGUUCGAGCGUCAUUUCAACCCUCGCAGCCCCUCUGGGCAGCGGUGUUGGGGACCGGCAGAACCGGCGCGCCCCCCGUGGCGCCCGGCGCCGCCCCCGAAAUACAGUGGCGGUCCCGCCGCAGCCUCCCCUGCGUAGUAGCACACCUCGCACCGGAGCGCGGCGCGGCCACGCCGUAAAACCCCCGACUCUCUGAGUUUGACCUCGAAUCAGGUAGGAAUACCCGCUGAACUUAA
rnacentral:misc_RNA from 1 species